rnacentral:lncRNA from 1 species
AAUUCUAUGGUAAUUCCUCAGUUAGCUUUUUAAAUUACUCAUCAAAUAUUGGUCCUAAUUGCUUCCGAUAAGAAUAUUUCUAUAGUGGUUAGAUCUAAAUUCUAUACUUUGUUAAUUGGUAAUUUAAUUGUAUGUUCAAUGUAGAAUAAAACAGACUUUUCACAAAACUCUGUGCCAUUUGGAGAACUCUUUUAAAGGUUUAAUUUGAUUGUUCUAAUAAAAUAAAAGCAUCUGUAUGGAUACUUCUGAAACCCUAUUUUAUGACAAAUAAAGGAUUUACCUUUCUAAAAAAAAAUUGGCAAACCAGUAGUUUAGAGGGCUUCAGGCUAGGUAGUCCUAUAAAAUUAUCUAAGUGGACUAAGAUAUUUUCUCAUAUACCUCACUAAUUUCAGUUUUUAAAAGGAGCAUCUUGAAAUAUGUAUUUUCCUGUUUUUUUUUUAAUAAACUAAGGCA